rnacentral:tRNA from 1 species
GGUGGUAUAGCCAAGCGGUAAGGCAGGGGCCUGCAAAGCCUUUAUCCCCAGUUCGAAUCUGGGUACCACCU